GGAGACGUGGGUGAGCGGUUGAAACCGGCACGGUGCUAACGUGUUAGGGGUGUUAAAACCCCUCGGAGGUUCGAAUCCUCCCGUCUCCG
rnacentral:tRNA from 1 species